AAUCUGCUUAACCAAUGAAAAGUUUUCUCCCCAAUCAUGAAGCAGCAUGCGCAGCCCUAGCUCACAACUUUUUUUUUCAAGUUGAAACUUUAUCAUGCUAGUUGAAUCUACGUAGACAGAUUGGAAUCCUCAUCUUUGUGGGUGGGUCUUAGCUAGUCCAACAGGAUUACCAUUACAAACCAUAAAAAACGCAAGUGCGCAAGCUAUACAUCUCCUUGCUAAUCCUACACCGACCAUUCACAAACGCUCCUCCUCCUCCUCCGCUCACCUCGUCCCCUGAAUCACCUUUACUUGGCUUGGAGUGUUGGAAUCCUCAUCUUUGUCGACUUUCUCUGAUGGCUCCCAGCCGUAAGAGAGGAAGUUAUAAGUCGCCUCUCUCACCUCUCUGAUAAGAACUCGUAAAUACAAGUAUGAGUGGCAUACGUUAUUUAUCAAGAAGGAAGACACGAGUGUAUAUGGUUUUAGGAGGCCUGAUCCGAAUCUUCUCAAGAAUGCACUCUUAAGUUGGCGUUUAUAGAUUUUUCCUCAUUUUGGUGAGUCGACUCUGGAUAAAGGCAUUUGAUUUCUUAUUAAUAUCAUUUGAAAGUGGCUCCCGAUGUGAUCGCUUCCCAUCUUCAAGCUUAACAAGCACCGGUAUCUUAAAGCUAGCUUCACUCGUUAGGCUCUUCCAUUUUUCGUGUAUCACUUUCUUUGAACCGUUAGCCAGCAUGAUCGCCUUUGAUUCUUCACUUUUGCCUGAAGUAAAUUGCGAUAUCAGAUUCUGAAUCUUUCUUCUUCACAGACUUAUCCUCCUUUUUGACUCGGUCAUAAGAUUAACCACCACGAACCUAACCAGCCGGCAACAAUUGCCUCUGUUUUCAUCAUUAAACUCUCUUAUUCACAACAGCAAUAUAUGUUUAUGGUGUUGGUUUGUAUGAAAAAGAAGUAUAUAGCGGGCUUUGCUUUGAUUCUACGCUUUGAGGGAAAAUGUGAUUGUCUUUGUCUUUAUAUCUGUCAAAAAAAUUACAGAACUUGUCUAGCUUCUUCUUCGUACUCUUUUUUUGGUUUGUUUUAGCUUAAAAAUGCAAACUGCUUUGUGCAAGGUUUUCUUCCAUUGGAGCUGGAGAUUCGCUUCUUUUUUGAAAUAUAUGAAGUUCUCUC